rnacentral:rRNA from 1 species
AGGACGAACGCUGGCGGCGUGCCUAACACAUGCAAGUCGAGCGGGGACAUUGCGACGGAGGCGAAGUACUCGUACGGAGUCAAAGAUGUAAUGUCUAGCGGCGGACGGGUGAGUAACGCGUGAGCAACCUGUCCCUUACAGGGGGAUAACACAGCGAAAGUUGUACUAAUACCGCAUAAGACCACAGGAUGACAUCGUCCAGGGGUCAAAGGAGCAAUCCGGUAAGGGGUGGGCUCGCGUCCGAUUAGAUAGUUGGUGAGGUAACGGCCCACCAAGUCGACGAUCGGUAGCCGACCUGAGAGGGUAAUCGGCCACAUUGGGACUGAGACACGGCCCAAACUCCUACGGGAGGCAGCAGUGGGGAAUAUUGGGCAAUGGGGGGAAACCCUGACCCAGCAACGCCGCGUGAGGGAAGAAGGUUUUCGGAUCGUAAACCUCUGUCCCAGGUGAAGAGGAAGAGACGGUAGCCUGGGAGGAAGCCCCGGCUAACUACGUGCCAGCCGCCGC